GUGAAUCAUCGAAUCUUUGAACGCAAAUUGCACUCUCCUCUGAUAGUAUGCCUGUUUGAGGGUCAGCCUAUAAAAAUCGACAUCGUUGCUGUUUCGCGGUGGCGUUCGUCGUAAAUUGGGUAAUCUUAAAGCCUUUUGAUUUAAGGAACUUAGAAUUUUCUUUUGGUGCCAUGAAGGUUCCUAGUAUCUAUUUCGUUGGACGUUUAAGCUAUC
rnacentral:misc_RNA from 1 species